GAUGAACGCUGGCGGCGUGCCUAAUACAUGCAAGUCGAGCGAACAGACGAGGAGCUUGCUCCUCUGACGUUAGCGGCGGACGGGUGAGUAACACGUGGAUAACCUACCUAUAAGACUGGGAUAACUUCGGGAAACCGGAGCGAAUACCGGAUAAUAUAUUGAACCGCAUGGUUCAAUAGUGAAAUACGGUUUUGCUGUCACUUAUAGAUGGAUCCGCGCCGCAUUAGUUAGUUGGUAAGGUAACGGCUUACCAAGGCAACGAUGCGUAACCGACCUGAGAGGGUGAUCGGCCACACUGGAACUGAGACACGGUCCCGACUCCUACGGGAGGAAGCAGUAGGGAAUCUUACGCAAUGGGGCAAAGCCUGACGGAGCAACGCCGCGUGAGUGAUGAAGGUCUUCGGAUCGUAAAACUCUGUUAUUAGGAAAGAACAAAUGUGUAAGUAACUAUGCACGUCUUGACGGUACCUAAUCAGAAAGCCACGGCUAACUCCGUG
rnacentral:rRNA from 1 species